GUCCACGCCCUAAACGAUGUCAACUAGGUGUUGGGUGGGUAAACCAUUUAGUACCGGAGCUAACGCGUGAAGUUGACCGCCUGGGGAGUACGGCCGCAAGGUUAAACUCAAAGGAAUUGACGGGGACCCGCACAAGCGGUGGAUGAUGUGGAUUAAUUCGAUGCAACGCGAAAAACCUUACCUACCCUUGACAUGUCCGGAAGCCCUUAGAGAUUUGGGUGUGCUCGAAAGAGAGCCGGAACACAGGUGCUGCAUGGCUGUCGU
rnacentral:rRNA from 1 species